AGUGAACGCUGGCGGUAGGCCUAACACAUGCAAGUCGAACGGCAGCACAGUAAGAGCUUGCUCUUACGGGUGGCGAGUGGCGGACGGGUGAGGAAUACAUCGGAAUCUACUUUUUCGUGGGGGAUAACGUAGGGAAACUUACGCUAAUACCGCAUACGACCUACGGGUGAAAGCAGGGGAGCUUCGGACCUUGCGCGAUUGAAUGAGCCGAUGUCGGAUUAGCUAGUUGGCGGGGUAAAGGCCCACCAAGGCGACGAUCCGUAGCUGGUCUGAGAGGAUGAUCAGCCCCACUGGAACUGCGACACGGUCCAGACUCCUACGGGAGGCAGCAGUGGGGAAUAUUGGACAAUGGGCGCAAGCCUGAUCCAGCCAUACCGCGUGGGUGAAGAAGGCCUUCGGGUUGUAAAGCCCUUUUGUUGGGAAAGAAAAGCAGCAGGUUAAUACCCCGCUGUUCUGACGGUACCCAAAGAAUAAGCACCGGCUAACUUCGUG
rnacentral:rRNA from 1 species